AUUGAACGCUGGCGGCAGGCCUAACACAUGCAAGUCGAACGAGUGGCGGACGGGUGAGUAAUGUCUGGGAAACUGCCUGCUGGAGGGGGAUAACUACUGGAAAAGGUAGAUAAUACCGCAUAUCCUCAGAUGUGCCCAGAUGGGAUUAGCUAGUUGGUGGGGUAACGGCUAGCCAAUGCGACGAUCCCUAGCUGGUCUGAGAGGACGACCGGCCACACUGGAACUGAGACACGAUCCAGAAUCCUACGGGAGGCAGCAGUGGGGAAUGUUGGACAAUGGGCGCAAGCCUGAUGCAGCCAUGCCGCGUGUAUGAAGAAGGCCUUCGGGUUGUAAAGUACUUUCAGCGGGGAGGCGUUACCCGCAGAAGAAGCACCGGCUAACUCCGUGCCAGCAGCCGCGGUAAUAC
rnacentral:rRNA from 1 species